GUUCUCAUUGGCAGCACAAACUGUAAAAUUUGAAUGGUUCAGAGAAGAUUAGCAUGGCCCCUGAACAAGGAUGAUACCCAAAUUCAUGAAGCAAAAACAUUUUUA
ensembl:snRNA U6 U6 spliceosomal RNA